rnacentral:rRNA from 1 species
UACGUAGGGGGCAAGCGUUGUCCGGAAUCAUUGGGCGUAAAGCGCGUGUAGGCGGCUCGAUAAGUCUGCUGUGAAAGUCCAGGGCUCAACCCUGGGAUGCCGGUGGAUACUGUCGAGCUCGAGUCCGGAAGAGGCGAGUGGAAUUCCUGGUGUAGCGGUGGAAUGCGCAGAUAUCAGGAGGAACACCAAUGGCGAAGGCAGCUCGCUGGGACGGUACUGACGCUGAGGUGCGAAAGCGUGGGGAGCAAACAGG